CCGCGGUAAUACGUAGGGGGCGAGCGUUGUCCGGAUUUAUUGGGCGUAAAGGGCGUGUAGGCGGUCUGGUAAGUCGGGGGUGAAAACCCAGAGCUCAACUCUGGAACUGCCCUUAAUACUGCCAGUCUAGAGUCCGGAAGAGGUGAGUGGAACUCCUAGUGUAGAGGUGGAAUUCGUAGAUAUUAGGAAGAACACCAGUGGCGAAGGCGGCUCACUGGUCCGGUACUGACGCUGAGGUGCGAAAGCGUGGGGAGCAAACAGG
rnacentral:rRNA from 1 species